UUUAUGUGGAAAAACUCCUCAAAAGAGGAUAAAAAAUCACAGGUAAAAGGAAAUUUCACUAAUAUAAAAGAAGUACAAAGAUGGAGACAAUAAAAAAGAAAGAAAAACUCAAAACCCCGAAAGAAAAACCCUUCAAACUCGAAAAACAAAAAAUUCUUCCAAUUUGUAUAUUUUAUGUUGUUCUAUAAACCUAGGGUAACUAUAACCUAUUUAUAAGUUGAAAUUCAUAUUCUUUAUGACUAGAAUAUCCGUAGGUUAAUCAGAGUUUAAGCGGAAAACUAAAAUAGAGCUUAACUAAGAGAAGAAAACUGAGAAACUUAAGGAACAUGUUGUCACAUUGUGACGUGGCUUUUGCAUCGUUGGGACGAAGAACGAUCAUGUCGUCGGGACGAAGAUUCUCUUCUCAUCAUGACAUUAGCUGCUCGUCGCAACGUCGAGCUUUAUCUCAUCGGGAUGUCACUCACUGUUGUGGUCAAAAUGUGAGGCAAACUUUCGCAAAGGGUAAAUUAUAAAAAUUAAAAAUUUUAUCACAUGCGUAUGUGUGAGAACUACAUAUUUAGAAUAUAGAAGUUUGUUUAAAAAUAAUAUAUAAUAAAUAAUGAAAUAUAUGUUUGAAACUAAUUAAUAGUAAUAACACAUGUAGAAAAAUUAGAUUAAAUUGUGAGUAAAAUCAAAUUUAAACACGUACAUACAUUAGAUUAAGAAUAUUAAAUGCAUUACAAUUGUUUAUCAUGGUGUUGUCAUCAAUCUUAAGUUGAUGUCGAGUUAACUUGUGAUACCGACUCAACCAAUAGCAUUGUCAAUAUAUACAAUUGAUGAAGGUAAUAAAAUAUGCAUAAUAAAAUUAAAAUGUACAAUACAUUUCAAGAUAAAAGCAUUGGCUAACUGGUAAAAUCAAAAUUUUAUCAACGCAAAUGUCAUGGAUUAAAAUCCUACCAUAUGCAAAUUAUUAAUUGUAUUUUUAAUAAAAGACUAAAGUUCCUUUAUUUUAAUUAUGGAAAGAUAUUUUUCUAAUUUUCCUAAUCAAGUUGGUCUCUGGUUGACUCAUGAUACUAACUCAAUCAAAGGUUUAAAUAAUAAUAUAGAUUUACAACUGAUGGAGAUAAUAAACUGUGCUAUUAAAAUGAAAAUAUAUAAUAUGAAGUUUUGGUUGAGUGAUAAAUAUAUCUAAUUGGUGAGGGUUUAAAUCCUAUUUUUAGUUAUUUUUAUUAAAAUAAAAAGACUAAAAUACCCUCAAAUAAUAUAAUGUAUUUUAAUUAUAAAAGGAUAUUUUCAUAAUUUUCUUAAUCGAGUUGGUGAUGAUUGACUCGUGACACUAACUCAGUUGGAGUUUAAAUAUUAGUAUAGAUAAUCACUCAAGUAUUAGUUGUCUCUACUUUCAUCACUCAAGUUUAAAAUUUUUUUAUUUUAGUCAUUAAUAUUAUUGAAAUUUAAUAUUUUGCCCACUCCUCCGUUAAGUCACUAACGAAAGCUUUUCUAAUUGGCAUAAUAACAAAAUUAACCCUCCAAUAUUUAUAGAUUCUAUCAAUUUGAUCCCAAUUCUAAAAAAAUUAACAAAUUUAGCCCUCAACUUUACAUAUUUUGUUAAUUUAUUCUUAAUUAUUAAAAAUUAAAAGUUAAAAACCUUUAAAAUUAAAAAAAUAAAAGUAAAAAUUUUAAAAUUUAUUUUUUCAUAAAAAUAAAUACAAAAUUAUAAAAAUAUUUAUAAACAAAUGAGAAUUGGAACGUACGAUUAAAUUCAUUGAGAAUUGGAAGAUUUUGCCCUGAUGCUUUUCGUACGAAUAAGUGUUUAGAAGAUUAUGCUGGCAUCCCGACAAGGCAAAUGCACGACAUCUCAAGAGCAUAAAGGGCCUAUCUCAGGCGCCAAGAACAAAUUUCCGAUUUCCCAUGAGCGAUUAUGAAAGCAAAAGGAAUAUCGGUUUGUAACUUUUUUUAGAAUAUUUCUUUCUUGCAUUGCGGAGGCCUAUACAUCCAUCUUACUUACU
rnacentral:lncRNA from 1 species